GAUGAACGCUGGCGGCGUGCUUAACACAUGCAAGUCGAACGAUGAAGCCCAGCUUGCUGGGUGGAUUAGUGGCGAACGGGUGAGUAACACGUGAGUAACCCGCCCUUGACUCUGGGAUAAGCCUGGGAAACUGGGUCUAAUACUGGAUAUGACUUCUCAUCGCAUGGUGGGGGGUGGAAAGAUUUAUUGGUCUUGGAUGGACUCGCGGCCUAUCAGCUUGUUGGUGAGGUAAUGGCUCACCAAGGCGACGACGGGUAGCCGGCCUGAGAGGGUGACCGGCCACACUGGGACUGAGACACGGCCCAGACUCCUACGGGAGGCAGCAGUGGGGAAUAUUGCACAAUGGGCGCAAGCCUGAUGCAGCGACGCCGCGUGAGGGAUGACGGCCUUCGGGUUGUAAACCUCUUUCAGUAGGGAAGAAGCGAGAGUGACGGUACCUGCAGAAGAAGCGCCGGCUAACUACGUG
rnacentral:rRNA from 1 species